ACUCUGACUCCAACAGGGUGAGCUUGCUAUCCUUGUGGCACAGGGCCUUUUGCAUUGUGGAUGAUGGAGCGGCUCGUAUAGUCCAUAAGUUUUGUGCGUAGCUGUGUACCCUGUCCCUGUGAGCUGGUUCUGCCCGGCACCUCGGUGACCUCGAGGAAAGAAGCUGAGAGACAGAGUCUUGCUUUGUCACCCAGGCUGGAGGGCAGUGGCACCAUCAUAGCUCACUGCAGACUCGAACUCCUGGGCUCAAGGGAUCCUCCUGCCUCGGCCUCCAAAAAUGGUGAGAUUAUGGACAUGAGACACUGCACUGGGCCUAUUGUGUAUCUUGUUGGCCUAAAAUUGAAACAUGCCUUGUGAGCGUUUACUGCAACUUCAAUGAGUGAUUAUUAUGUUGCCUUUAAUCCUGAGAGACUGUAUUACUUGUGCACUUUUUUUUUUUUUGGAUAGGGGGAAAUUAGAUUUAUUCCCUAUAUGUUUUAGAAAAUUGAAGUUUUAAAUAUCAGACUCACUA
rnacentral:lncRNA from 1 species